rnacentral:lncRNA from 1 species
CCCUAUUCCGAGUCCAUCCUAUGUCCCAAGAUAGAUCCCCUCCACAGAUAAGCUCUCAUCCCGUUCAGAAUCUUCUUCCGGAUUAAUCUCCGCCUUCAUUCCGUUCGCAAGAUACAGCUUCCAGAUAAGCUUCAAAUCCCACCCUCUUCCCGAUUGCCUCCCACAAUUCUCUACUCCGGAUUAACUCCAUCAUCCACGGGCAGAACAGAGUUAUCCUCUCAUCUUCUCAAAACAACAUCCCAUCUCCUCCCACGACCGGUUAUUCAGCGAUUCAUCUUCAUCCCGUGAGCCAUAUCCUCCCUCCGGAUCACAUAUCCCAGCUGCCAUCCGAAUCCCCUGUUUCUCCGUGACCUCCUUCACGUCCUUCCCAAGCUCAUCCUCCCAAGGAAUAGAGCCGACAUCCCAUUCGGAUUCAUCCCAGCAUCUUCCAUAUUAGCUCUCCAGCUUCCUCGGCUUCAUCCUUCCAAGCUUCACGGCAUCCAAGCUUUUCCUCCCAACUUAUGGAUCAACUCCAUCCUUCCGCAUCCAAAGAUCCUCUGUUCUCAGCCGUAUCCACUAUUUUCAAGCCUCCCGCAUCUCCAUCUCAGCCGUAAGCUCAAUCUGACGUCCACGUCCUCGCCAUCCCCUGCAGCCAAGGAUCAAGCCGACUUUAGCCAACGAAUUUCAGCUCUCAGUUCCUUCCGCGUCCGGUUACUCUGCGAUCAUCCAGAUCCCAGCUUAUCUUCCCAAUGGCGGAUCAGAUCAAUCCUCGAUGACCUUAUCCUCCCACUCAUGUGAAGAAACAGAGGAGGAGGGAGGGGGAGCUUGCAGCUUAUCAAAGGGGAGACGUCUCUUCUUCGGAAUCAGCUCUUCUCAGAUAGGCCAAAUCCCACAGAGUUCAGGAGGGAGAGAAGUUUGGAUAUUUCGAGAAUAACUUCUCAUAAGAAAAAAAAUCAAUGAAGUGCUGAGAGGGCGUUUUCCAUGGAAGUCAUAGAAGGAAGGAGGGAGGAAGGGAAGAAGCCGAUCGUGAUGAAAUUUGAAGCACUCUCCACUGCUGCUAUCACUCACGACACCAUGGAAGCUGAGCUCUGCACUAGGGCCGGAUGCAGCCCUAACAAAGAGACAAGAAUUUUGUAUUUUUGAUUUCUAUUUUUGGAGUUGUAUAAACUUAUUGUUUUUAAUAAAUAUCUCUUUUUAUCUCAUGUUUAAUUUCUGUGAUUUUAAAUGAAAAGUUUAUGCAACUGUUUUUCAUGAUCACUAAGUUAAUAUAAGAU